GGCGAGAUGGCCGAGCGGUCUAAGGCGCUAGACUCAAGAAUCCUGUUCUUGCCUGCAGAAGUGGGUAGCAUUCUAGUAUCGAAAGAUGCGUGGGUUCGAAUCCCACUCUCGUCA